rnacentral:rRNA from 1 species
AAUCCAGAGAUGGAUUUGUGCCUUCGGGAACUGUGAGACAGGUGCUGCAUGGCUGUCGUCAGCUCGUGUUGUGAAAUGUUGGGUUAAGUCCCGCAACGAGCGCAACCCUUAUCCUUUGUUGCCAGCGAUUAGGUCGGGAACUCAAAGGAGACUGCCAGUGAUAAACUGGAGGAAGGUGGGGAUGACGUCAAGUCAUCAUGGCCCUUACGACCAGGGCUACACACGUGCUACAAUGGCGCAUACAAAGAGAAGC